GACGAACCGUCCUAACGUUGUUCGGAAUCACUGGGCUUAAAGGGCGCGUAGGCGGGCAGCCAAGUCUGAGGUGAAAUCUUUCGGCUUAACCGGAAAAUAGCCUUGGAUACUGGCAGUCUCGAGGGAGGUAGGGGCAUGUGGAACUUCCGGUGGAGCGGUGAAAUGCGUUGAUAUCGGAAGGAACGCCGGUGGCGAAAGCGACGUGCUGGACCUCUACUGACGCUGAGGCGCGAAAGCCAAGGGAGCAAACGGG
rnacentral:rRNA from 1 species